GGGGUACUGGCCGAGUGGAUAAGGCGCUGUGUUUAGGCCGCAGUGGGAAACCGCGCAGGUUCGAAUCCUGCGGACUUCA
rnacentral:tRNA from 2 species